GACGAACGCUGGCGGCGUGCUUAACACAUGCAAGUCGAACGGAAAGGCCCUGCUUUUGUGGGGUGCUCGAGUGGCGAACGGGUGAGUAACACGUGAGUAACCUGCCCUUGACUUUGGGAUAACUUCAGGAAACUGCGGCUAAUACCGGAUAGGAGCUCCUGCUGCAUGGUGGGGGUUGGAAAGUUUCGGCGGUUGGGGAUGGACUCGCGGCUUAUCAGCUUGUUGGUGGGGUAGUGGCUUACCAAGGCUUUGACGGGUAGCCGGCCUGAGAGGGUGACCGGCCACAUUGGGACUGAGAUACGGCCCAGACUCCUACGGGAGGCAGCAGUGGGGAAUAUUGCGCAAUGGGCGGAAGCCUGAUGCAGCAACGCCGCGUGCGGGAUGACGGCCUUCGGGUUGUAAACCGCUUUCGCCUGUGACGAAGCGUGAGUGACGGUAAUGGGUAAAGAAGCACCGGCUAACUACGUG
rnacentral:rRNA from 1 species